rnacentral:rRNA from 1 species
UGGAUGAUGUGGUUAAUUCGAUGCAACGCGAAAACCUUACCACCUUUGACAUGUACGGAAUCCUUAGAGAUAGAGGAGUGCUCGAAAGAGAACCGUAACACAGGUGCUGCAUGGCUGUCGUCAGCUCGUGUCGUGAGAUGUUGGGUUAAGUCCCGCAACGAGCGCAACCCUUGUCAUUAGUUGCUACAUUCAGUUGGGCACUCUAAUGAGACUGCCGGUGACAAACCGGAGGAAGGUGGGGAUGACGUCAAGUCCUCAUGGCCCUUAUAGGUGGGGCUACACACGUCAUACAAUGGAUGGUACAAAGGGUCGCCAACCCGCGAGGGGGAGCCAAUCCCAUAAAGCCAUUCGUAGUCCGGAUCGCAGUCUGCAACUCGACUGCGUGAAGUCGGAAUCGCUAGUAAUCGUGGAUCAGAAUGUCACGGUGAAUACGUUCCCGGGUCUU